rnacentral:pre_miRNA from 1 species
AGUGGAACUGUUGGGUUAUGAGUAGGUGUUUGUUUAACUUUAUUAGAAAUUGCCAAAGUGUUUUCCAAGGUGGUUGAGCCAUUUUGUACUCCCACGAGUAAU